GGGCGUGCGGACGUAGUCGUCGAUGGUGUUGCGUCUUCGGACGGUUCGUCACGCGCUGCGUACGCAAACGUCCCGGGACGGCGUGCACUUCUCCCUCAGUAAUACAUCGCGACCCGUUCGAUGUCGGUCUACGCUCCGCGCGGGAGUCUCUCGGUCGUCGGCCCUCGCGGGUCUCGGCCGGGUUGACCGCUUUGCGGCAGCCGACCGGCCGUCGGACGGUAAAACAACGAAACGUGCACGCGUGCUAUUCAGCAGCGCGUCCGGCCCGACGCAAGGUCAGCUUCGUCACCGCCCUCUGCCCGAGCGCGAGGGAGGGGGCGACGCGCCUGUACGUCGCAGCCGUGGUCUCGGACCGUGCACGUGUCCGUCUGCGAUGAUUCAGUUUCGGGCACUCGCAGGACCCGUCUUGAAACACGGACCAAGGAGUCUAGCAUGUGUGCGAGUCAUUGAGAUUAUUUCGAACGAAACUUAAAGGCGUAACGAAAGUGAAGGAGGACGCUCGUCGCCCUCUCAGGGAGGAUGGAGCGUCGAUCUCGAUCGGCGUUCUCGCACUCCCGAGGCGUCUCGUUUCCAAUCUGCGAAUGCAGGCGCGCUCUGAGCACAGAUGCUGGGACCCGAAAGAUGGUGAACUAUGCCUGGUCAGGUCGAA
rnacentral:rRNA from 1 species